rnacentral:rRNA from 1 species
ACGGAAGGCAGCAGUGAGGAAUAUUGGUCAAUGGAGGCAACUCUGAACCAGCCAUCUCGCGUGAAGGAAUACGGCCCUACGGGUCUUAAACUUCUUUUAUAGGGGGAUAAAGUGAGCCACGAGUGGCUUUUUGUAGGUACCCUAUGAAUAAGCAUCGGCUAACUCCGUGCCAGCAGCCGCGGUAAUACGGAGGAUGCGAGCGUUAUCCGGAUUUAUUGGGUUUAAAGGGAGCGUAGGCGGGCUGUUGAGUCAGCGGUUAAAUGUCAGUGCCCAACAUUGGCAUGCCGUUGAUACUGGCGGCCUUGAAUGCACACAAGGAAGGUGGAAUUCGUCGUGUAGCGGUGAAAUGCUUAGAUAUGACGAAGAACUCCGAUUGCGAAGGCAGCCUUCUGGGGUGCCAUUGACGCUGAGGCUCGAAAGUGCGGGAAUCAAACAGGAUUAGAUACCCUGGUA